rnacentral:rRNA from 1 species
CCGGCGACCGGCGCACGGGUGAGUAACACGUAUGCAACCUGGCCGUGACAGAUGGAUAACCGGGAGAAAUCCCGCCUAAUACAACAUAAUGCCGGGAGGGGACAUCCCCUGCCGGCCAAAGGGGGCGACCCCGGUCACGGAUGGGCAUGCGGCGCAUUAGGCAGUUGGUGGGGCAACGGCCCACCAAGCCGACGAUGCGUAGGGGUUCUGAGAGGAAGGUCCCCCACAUUGGAACUGAGACACGGUCCAAACUCCUACGGAAGGCAGCAG